AGUGAACGCUGGCGGUAGGCCUAGCACAUGCAAGUCGAACGGCAGCCCAGUAAGAGCUUGCUCUUACGGGUGGCGAGUGGCGGACGGGUGAGGAAUACAUCGGAAUCUACUUUUUCGUGGGGGAUAACGUAGGGAAACUUACGCUAAUACCGCAUACGACCUACGGGUGAAAGCAGGGGAUCUUCGGACCUUGCGCGAUUGAAUGAGCCGAUGUCGGAUUAGCUAGUUGGCGGGGUAAAGGCCCACCAAGGCGACGAUCCGUAGCUGGUCUGAGAGGAUGAUCAGCCACACUGGAACUGAGACACGGUCCAGACUCCUACGGGAGGCAGCAGUGGGGAAUAUUGGACAAUGGGCGCAAGCCUGAUCCAGCCAUACCGCGUGGGUGAAGAAGGCCUUCGGGUUGUAAAGCCCUUUUGUUGGGAAAGAAAAGCAGCAGGUUAAUACCCCGCUGUUCUGACGGUACCCAAAGAAUAAGCACCGGCUAACUUCGUG
rnacentral:rRNA from 1 species